rnacentral:misc_RNA from 1 species
GGAAGUAAAAGUCGUAACAAAGUUUCCGUAGGUGAACCAGCGGAAGGAUCAUUAUUGUAUAACCGAGGUGCGAGGGCUGUCGCUGACCCGAAAGGUCGGGCACGCCCGAGUGCCCUCACACACAUCCAUCUCACCCCUAUGUGCACCACCGCUUGGGUCCCCCUUUGGCUUGUUCGGAGGGGGGCUUACGCUUUCACACAAACUUUGUAUGCAGUGUAGAAUGUAUUUUUUGUUUUUGCGAUCACGCAAUCAAUACAACUUUCAACAACGGAUCUCUUGGCUCUC